UGUUCCCUGACUCCUCCAAGGAAAGGAGACUCCCUUCCGCAGUCUGCUAAGUAAAGGGUGCCUUCCCAGACACUGGCGUUACCGCUUCACCAAGGAGCCCUCAAGCGGCCCUUAUGCGGGCGUGACAGAGGGCUCACCUCUUGCCUUCUAGGUCACUUCUCACAAUGUCCCUUCAGCACCUGACGCUAUGUCCGCCGGUUAUUCCUAGGUUAUGUUAGUAAUACGACAAAGAGUAACAUUAAAAGCUAAUGAUUAAUAAUGUUUAUAAUCAUGAUUGAUAAUUGUCCAUGAUCAUCUGUAUGUCUAAUUUGUAUUAUGACUAUUCUUAUUCUAACUAUCUUCUUUAUUAUACUGAAACAGUUUGUGCCUUCAGUCUCUUGCCUUGGCACAAUCCUCCGCCCACACCAGAGUCCACUCCAGCCCUCAGUGCCCAGGUGGGCUGAUACCAUAUGCCUUUAGCAGACAGGGAGACUGAGGCUGAGUCACCCAUCUCAUGGGGGCUUUUGCGGGAAUGAGCCACAGGCCUGUCUGUGCCAGAGGCAGGCACGAGAUAGCACCCUGCAGAAUCAGGCUGGAGAAGCCCCAGAGCCUCACAGAGAGGGAGGCAUGGACGCGCGUCAGGAAAGGCGGAGGCCAUCUCAGACGGGGCUUGCCUUUCCCAAGGGGCCCUGACUGUGCCCCCCACCCUCACCAUCCCCCUCUGUCCAUCCGUCCAUCAUCUAUCUGUGCGAUCUGUCAUCUGUGUCUAUAUGACCUGUCAUCUCUGUUUAUCCAUCAUCAAGCAGUCUCCCUGUCCUCUACCUCUGUCAUCUGUUUAUCUGCCAUCUGAGAAUCAUCCGUCACCGCCAUCAUCUCUAUCCACCAUCUACACACCUAUCCUCUCCCAGCGGUUCCCUCCCCUCCCUGACCCCUCCUCCCCACAGUGUGUUUAACACGUAACACUCCUCUCACUCCCACCUGCGAUGUGGGCCGCGACCGUCCCGGCCCGUGCAGGACCACUGUGGGCGAGGGGCUGUGACCGUCCCGGCCCGUGAAGGAUCAAUGUGGGCGAGGGGCCGUGACCGUCACGGCCCGUGCAGGAUCAAUGUGGGCGAGGGGCCGUGACCGUCCCGGCCCAUGCAGGAUCAAUGUGGGCAAGGGGCCGUGACCGUCCCGGCCCGUUCAGGACAGUGGCCUAUAACCUCUGACAUGGGGUCACAGGAGAAUGCGGCUUCUGCCUUGCCCCUCGCCCCUGCCCCGCCUCCACAUACACAGCUGGGCUCCCCUGCAGCCUCCACGCUGCAGAGGCCACGCGGACAGAGCCCAGGAACAGAGGUGCUGGGCCCAGCCCUGCCCGCCCAGGGGCUGGAACCCUCCCCUGGAGGGCAGAGCUCAGUGACUCCAGCCUCGUCACACCUGCGUGUGAACCACCCGGCUGAGCCCAGCUAGCCCCAGAGCCACAGGCGUGGGAGCCGGAAGAUGCUGUGUGAGGCCCUGAGUUUGGGGUGGUCUGUGACACAGGGAUUGGUAUCUGCACUGGUGGCCUCAGAGAAUCCCAGCCCCGCCAGCCCCACGUCCAGACCACUCCUCUCAAAGAGAGGCCUCGGUGAAGCAGGAUCCCUACCCCAGUGGACGCCCAUGAGGGCUGGUGCCUUCCCAUGUCUGCCUUGAGAAGAGCUGGGACCCCAGGGAGGGUCUGUGGCUCUGCUGCCCAAAGGGCCCCUACCUGGACCAUCCUCCCCCAGCCCCUAUUGCAGCCCCCACCAGUGGGGAGACCCCUGCCCCGCCCAGGCUCUGGCUCAGCCCCUGCAGCCCCUCACUGAACCCCACACUUCAUAGGCACCUGCCCUGUGCUGCCCUGAUCUGGGCCACAUCUGGGUCUCCAAAUCCCCUGAAAACUGAGCUGGCAGGAGUGGUGGGGGGUGAGUGGGGGGCUGAGGGUGGUGGCAGGCAGGUGUCAGCGGGGGCAGGUGGUAGGAGGGGGCUGCCCAGUCAGGAAGGCCUGGGGCUUCAGGACACACGACCCUGGCCCUAGCCUGUGGCUCCUGGAGCACGGGCCUAACUGCACAAGCCACCGUCCCCGCCGCAGCCGACAGCUACGCACCUGGCUCUGCCUCUGCAGGUGGCCCUCAAGGGUGCUGUGGUGCUGCCGCCGUCCAGCAGGGGCCACCCCCACCACAGCGCUUCUGCUUCCUCCAAAGUCACGCAGCCCCUGCAGGCUAAGAGGGGUGGGCUCCCAUCCCCCGCCCCAAAGCACCACGCUCUGCCCGGCCCUGUCUGGCAGGCGGCCCCGCAGACCAACCCCACUGCCCUCAGGGAUGACCCCCACCCCCUGGCUCUUCAGAGUGGAUGAGUAAGCCCCCAGCCUCCCCUCUGAGUGGGGACACCUGUCGAGGUGCACAGCCGUCCAGAGCCACGAGGGGACCAGACGGACCUGCUGCCGCCCCGGGCCAAGACUGAGCCACCCACACGCCUCACAACCAGGUGUGGGGACAGAAAAAUGUCCCUGAAGAUGUCUGCAUCCUGGCCCCUGGGACCUGUGAACAUGGUGCUUACAUGGCAGAUCGGGUUGUUUGGGACCAAGAUGGGGAUGGUCCAGGAUUAGCAGGACCCGGUGCAGUUCCAAGGGUCCUGAGAGGGAGGCAGGAGGUCAGAGCCGGAGAGACAGGAGCACAGGGGCAGGGGUCGGAGGGAUCGGAAGGGGCUGCACUGCUGGCUGGAGGUUGGACCAAGUCCCAGCCCUGACUGAGGUGCCUCGACUCCAGAGAAGGCGGGAAACGGUUCCCCCCAAGAGCCUGCCGAGGCGGGAAACGGUUCCCCC
rnacentral:lncRNA from 10 species